rnacentral:rRNA from 1 species
UAGGGAAUCUUCGNNAAUGGACGGAAGUCUGACCGAGCAACGCCGCGUGAGUGAAGAAGGUUUUCGGAUCGUAAAGCUCUGUUGUAAGAGAAGAACGAGUGUGAGAGUGGAAAGUUCACACUGUGACGGUAUCUUACCAGAAAGGGACGGCUAACUACGUGCCAGCAGCCGCGGUAAUACGUAGGUCCCGAGCGUUGUCCGGAUUUAUUGGGCGUAAAGCGAGCGCAGGCGGUUAGAUAAGUCUGAAGUUAAAGGCUGUGGCUUAACCAUAGUACGCUUUGGAAACUGUUUAACUUGAGUGCAAGAGGGGAGAGUGGAAUUCCAUGUGUAGCGGUGAAAUGCGUAGAUAUAUGGAGGAACACCGGUGGCGAAAGCGGCUCUCUGGCUUGUAACUGACGCUGAGGCUCGAAAGCGUGGGGAGCAAACAGGAUUAGAUACCCUGGUAGUCCACGCCGUAAACGAUGAGUGCUAGGUGUUAGACCCUUUCCGGGGUUUAGUGCCGCAGCUAACGCAUUAAGCACUCCGCCUGGGGAGUACGACCGCAAGGUUG